AUUGAACGCUGGCGGCAGGCCUAACACAUGCAAGUCGAACGAGUGGCGGACGGGUGAGUAAUGUCUGGGAAACUGCCUGAUGGAGGGGGAUAACUACUGGAAACGGUAGCUAAUACCGCAUACCAUCGGAUGUGCCCAGAUGGGAUUCGCUUGUUGGUGGGGUAACGGCUAACCAAGGCGACGAUCCCUAGCUGGUCUGAGAGGAUGACCAGCCACACUGGAACUGAGACACGGUCCAGACUCCUAAGGGAGGAAGCAGUGGGGAAUAUUGCACAAGGGGCGCAAGCCUGAUGCAGCCAUGCCGAGUGUAUGAAGAAGUCCUUCGGGUUGUAAAGUACGUUCAGCGGGGAGGCGGUACCCGCAGAAGAAGCACCGGCUAACUCCGUGCCAGCAGCCGCGGUAAUAC
rnacentral:rRNA from 1 species